GCCCCGUUCGUCUAGUGGCCUAGGACGCCGGCCUCUCACGCCGGUAACACGGGUUCGAAUCCCGUACGGGGUA
rfam:Corynebacterium pollutisoli strain VDS genome assembly, contig: Ga0138996_105